rnacentral:ncRNA from 2 species
UAUUACACUACAAAUAAAGUUCGUCUGAAAGAAUAGGUGUUGGGAGGAAGCAGGUGAAACUCCUGCGCUCCCCCGGAACAGUAAACUUUCGCCGUUGGUGGAAAAUUGGCGGAAGAAGCCUGGUCGACCCGACUGCUAUUCAUAGCCGCA